UCCAGACUCCUACGGGAGGCAGCAGUGAGGAAUAUUGGUCAAUGGGCGGGAGCCUGAACCAGCCAAGCCGCGUGAGGGAAGAAGGUACAGCGUAUCGUAAACCUCUUUUGUCAGGGAACAAAGGCGGGGACUAGUCCCCGGAUGAGGGUACCUGAAGAAAAAGCACCGGCUAACUCCGUGCCAGCAGCCGCGGUAAUACGGAGGGUGCGAGCGUUAAUCGGAAUCACUGGGCGUAAAGCGCGCGUAGGCGGCUUUUCAAGUCAGGGGUGAAAUCCCACGGCCCAACCGUGGAACUGCCUUUGAAACUGUAGAGCUUGAGUGUCGGAGAGGGUGGCGGAAUUCCAGGUGUAGGAGUGAAAUCCGUAGAUAUCUGGAGGAACACCAGUGGCGAAGGCGGCCACCUGGACGACAACUGACGCUGAGGUGCGAAAGCGUGGGUAGCAAACAGGAUUAGAUACCCCUGUA
rnacentral:rRNA from 1 species